AGGACCCUAGUAAAAUAGCAUUACACUGCCUUGUCAAGACAAAGUUGUAGGUUAAACCCCUGCGAGUCCUG
rnacentral:tRNA from 1 species